rnacentral:rRNA from 1 species
UGGCGAACGGGUGAGUAACACGUGAGUAACCUGCCCUUGACUCUGGAAUAAGCGUUGGAAACGACGUCUAAUACCGGAUACGAGCUUCCGCCGCAUGGUGAGGAGUUGGAAAGAAUUUCGGUCAAGGAUGGACUCGCGGCCUAUCAGGUAGUUGGUGAGGUAAUGGCUCACCAAGCCUACGACGGGUAGCCGGCCUGAGAGGGUGACCGGCCACACUGGAACUGAGACACGGUCCAGACUCCUACGGGAGGCAGCAGUGGGGAAUAUUGCACAAUGGGCGCAAGCCUGAUGCAGCAACGCCGCGUGAGGGACGACGGCCUUCGGGUUGUAAACCUCUUUUAGUAGGGAAGAAGCGAUGUGCUUGUCACAUCAUGACGGUACCUGCAGAAAAAGCACCGGCUAACUACGUGCCAGCAGCCGCGGUAAUACGUAGGGUGCAAGCGUUAUCCGGAAUUAUUGGGCGUAAAGAGCUCGUAGGCGGUUUGUCGCGUCUGCUGUGAAAACUGGAGGCUCAACCUCCAGCCUGCAGUGGGUACGGGCAGACUAGAGUGCGGUAGGGGAGAUUGGAAUUCCUGGUGUAGCGGUGGAAUGCGCAGAUAUCAGGAGGAACACCGAUGGCGAAGGCAGAUCUCUGGGCCGUAACUGACGCUGAGGAGCGAAAGCAUGGGGAGCGAACAGGAUUAGAUACCCUGGUAGUCCAUGCCGUAAACGUUGGGAACUAGAUGUAGGGACCAUUCCACGGUUUCUGUGUCGCAGCUAACGCAUUAAGUUCCCCGCCUGGGGAGUACGGCCGCAAGGCUAAAACUCAAAGGAAUUGACGGGGGCCCGCACAAGCGGCGGAGCAUGCGGAUUAAUUCGAUGCAACGCGAAGAACCUUACCAAGACUUGACAUAUACGAGAACGGGCUAGAAAUAGUUCACUCUUUGGACACUCGUAAACAGGUGGUGCAUGGUUGUCGUCAGCUCGUGUCGUGAGAUGUUGGGUUAAGUCCCGCAACGAGCGCAACCCUCGUUCUUUGUUGCCAGCACGUCAUGGUGGGAACUCAAAGGAGACUGCCGGGGUCAACUCGGAGGAAGGUGGGGAUGACGUCAAAUCAUCAUGCCCCUUAUGUCUUGGGCUUCACGCAUGCUACAAUGGCCGAUACAAAGGGCUGCGAUACCGCAAGGUGGAG